CGGCGGACGGGUGAGUAACGCGUGGACAACCUGCCCUAUGCAGGGGGAUAACAUCCGGAAACGGGUGCUAAUACCGCAUAAGCGCACAGUACCGCAUGGUACGGUGUGAAAAGCUGAGGCGGCAUAGGAUGGGUCCGCGUUGGAUUAGGCAGUUGGCGGGGUAACGGCCCACCAAACCGACGAUCCAUAGCCGGCCUGAGAGGGUGGACGGCCACAUUGGGACUGAGACACGGCCCAGACUCCUACGGGAGGCAGCAG
rnacentral:rRNA from 1 species